rnacentral:lncRNA from 1 species
ACUACAUGGUUUGUAUCGCGCUUGACCAAGCCUGAAACUACAAGUAAGCUUCAAGUGAAAUUGAUACAUUACCUUGUGCAUCUCCACCAGUUAAAGAUACCACCCCUGGAUGGAGGAAGAGUACUUCUAGAGAAGAUGCCACAUCUACCUAUGAGACAGAUAAGGCAAGUCAAGACGACACCACACUCCGAUACUUAGAAGUUUCGUGAUUACGAGAUCAUUCUCCCACAAUAUUUCCUAAUGUCAUUUGUACUAAAUCAUUCACUUGUACUCACUAAAGGAGAGCUUGAACCUAUGUACUUGUGUAAACCCUUCACAAUUAAUGAGAACUCUUCUAUUCCGUGG